CCCAUACCACAUAUUGAGAAAACUAGAAGAGAAUGAACCUGGCCAGAGGAGAAUGAAAUGGCUUGAUAUAGAUGAAGAUGCAGCGGCCAUAAGUGAUGGAAACCACAGUAAUAUGUGAAGAACAG
rnacentral:antisense_RNA from 1 species